AACGAACGCUGGCGGCAUGCCUAACACAUGCAAGUCGAACGAGACCUUCGGGUCUAGUGGCGCACGGGUGCGUAACGCGUGGGAACCUGCCCUUAGGUUCGGAAUAACUCCCCGAAAGGGGUGCUAAUACCGGAUAAUGUCUUCGGACCCAAGAUUUAUCGCCUUUGGAUGGGCCCGCGUUGGAUUAGCUAGUUGGUAGGGUAAAAGCCUACCAAGGCGACGAUCCAUAGCUGGUCUGAGAGGAUGAUCAGCCACACUGGGACUGAGACACGGCCCAGACUCCUACGGGAGGCAGCAGUGGGGAAUAUUGGACAAUGGGCGAAAGCCUGAUCCAGCAAUGCCGCGUGAGUGAUGAAGGCCUUAGGGUUGUAAAGCUCUUUUACCCGGGAUGAUAAUGACAGUACCGUGAGAAUAAGCUCCGGCUAACUCCGUG
rnacentral:rRNA from 1 species